ensembl:lncRNA
GUGAUGUUAUACUGUGCUACCGUGUUCAGUUUGGGGUUUUAAAAAACAAAUAAACAAAGUUAAAUAUCUACGCUAAUUCUGUAAUUAGCGUGUUUUAACAACGUAUAAAAAUCACAAGGGUGAUGUUUAGGUCAUUUUAAGCUGAGAAUAAGAAGAUGAAGAUGAAGAAAGAAAAAAAGGAUUCGAAUGAAGAAAGAAGACUGAAGACGAAAGAGUGCAGUGCUAACUGCUGGCUUUCCUAGCUCAUUAUUACUAGCGCAUUAUUAUUAUUAGCCAUGUUAGCAUAUUUGGAAUGUCUGUUCGACCUUGAUAAUUUUCAUUUAAACAAGUACAAACUGUGCUGAAUUUUUCAAAAAUCAUUUUUAAUCGGUAUUUAUGCUAAAAAGAUGAAGCGCAGCGAAACAACAUAAUAAAACAAGCAGUUUGAUGCUAACUGCUGCCAUUCUUUCUUUCAUUACUAGCCACAUUAUUAGCGUGUUCGGUUAAUCUAAAAAUAAAAUAAUAUUUUUUGUAUGACAAAAUAAUAUUUGUCCGUUAUGAUCAUUUUAAGCUGAAAGUCAUAACCUAAUAAAGAACAAAUGCCUUUAAAGGUCAGCUGAAGCUAAUGGAUGCUAGCGGAGCGCUGCUAACAGCUAAUAGCUGGCGUUCUGUCAUCACUAGCUUGGCAUUAGCCCUGCUAGCAUGUUAGCAUGGAAAAUCCUUUCCGCCGUGUGGAUUUGUAUUUAAAGGUAAGGUAAAGACUGGGCCAAAAUAAUCAUUCAAUCAGAAGUCAAUUUUAAAUAAUCAUAUUUAUAUUUAAAUAAAUAAAUUCAUUAAAAAAUUAUGACAAACUGGUGGUUUUAUUGCUAAUGUUUUAUCAUUAUUAACAUAUUCAGUUAUAUAAAAUCGCAUUAAAAUGGUAUUUGCGUGACGAGUUAUGUUCGGGUUAUUAAUAAACAAUGUGAAAUAAACAGGAUUUUAAAAAAUAAUAAAUAAAUACAGAUUAUGCUAGUGGCGUGAUGCCAACUGCUAGCUUUCUGUCAUUAUUAGCAUGUUUGGAAAAUACUCCCUUUCACCUUGUUAAUUUAAUGUAGCAUGUAAUAACUGUUCUGAUGUAACCCUAAUGUUCAUUGAGGUCAUAUAAAUAUAUAUAUAUAUAUUUUUUAAGUGAUUUUAUUUACCCGAGAAGAUGUUCAGGUUCUGCUAAAAGGAACAGAGUGAAAUAAGAGGAGAGGUGGAGAUAGCGGAGGUCUGUUUCCAUCAGGAUUGUUUAUAAUGAGAUAAAGAGAAGAUAGAUUGUGAUGUUAAUGAAAGAUAGUUGCAGUUGUAGUGCCGUAAACACGCAACAGGACGACCUACGAUAGAGUUAAACACUCGGAACUGUUUCUCGGAAACCCGGCGUCCACACACAGGAAAGGAAUGUCGUUAUUUUAAUACUGACUUAUUUACAUUGCGUUUAGAGCCGGUGACCGUGGCGUACUUUUUAAACAAACCCGACACGGCCAAGCAUCACUUAGGAGCUUAUCGUGUAUUCCGUUCAGAGCCGAGCGGACCAGGCGACGGGUUUUUGGCCGCAACGUUUUGGUCUGAGGCUCUGAGGGCAGCCAGCUGUCACGACACAGGUCACACACACACACACACACACAUGUAUCCGCUUUUCCAGAUCUCUGAGACUCGCAGAAACUCGAGCUUGCGUGAGCAAACGCGCCGCGCAAUCAAGGCCGACUGGAGUUUCUCGCUCGCUGGAGAAACAUCAUGUGCUUUUGGUUACGUUUUAGGAACUUCUCAAUAUCGCGACUUCCCUCCAUUUCAAAUGUUUCAUCUGGAACAGAACCAAACACCGAAUCUGACACGGAGCGUAUAUUAGAUUUCUACACCGCCACAUGGGCGCCAAAACUUUUAUCAUCGUUUACAUCGUGUUUUUGUGAUUUCAUAUCUGCGCCGCUAUGUUCCUCUCGGAUCGUAUUUCACUCUGAGAAGAACGAUCCUUUAAAACUUUUUUGACGAAUCUCGGGUACAGAUUUUAUCUCAGGUACACGAACACUGCUCCGAGAACAAGGCUUCUGUCUGAACGGAAAACAUGCGCGGUGACGUGAAAUGUCCUCGAGCGAACGAUAAAAUACCACGAGAUAAAACGAGAUUAUAAAGGAUAAGAUGAAAUGAAAUAUAAUGAGAUAAUAUAAGAUAAUAUACCUUAAUUGUUCAGCUGUACAACGUCUCACUUUCAUUCUAAGUCAUUUUGGAUAAAAGAUUAAAACGAGUAGACAUAAAUAUAAAGAUAAGACUCUUUGAGUAAUUAUUAUUUUGUGGAGGUGAUGAACUUCCUGUCCAGCUGCAGAACUUUAUUUUCCCCACUUUUUAUUCCUAACGCAUGCUGAAGACAUCUGUGUGACUCUAUAACCUGCCGUUAGAAGGUCUUUGUUUAGAGGAACUCGUCUCCCAAUUAGCUUAAUGUGCCUUUUUU